AUCUCGAAAGCCUGUCCCAGUUCGGACUGGAGUCUGCAACCCGACUCCACGAAGUUGGAUUCGCUAGUAAUCGCGCAUCAGCCAUGGCGCGGUGAAUACGUUCCCGGGCCUUGUACACACCGCCCGUCAAGCCAUGGGAGCCGGGGGCGCCUGAAGUCCGGGACCGCGAGGACCGGCCUAGGGCGAAACUGGUAACUGGGGCUAAGUCGUAACAAGGUACC
rnacentral:rRNA from 1 species